UAUGUUUCUUUUAACUGACGUUUCAAGAUCAUUUGAGGAAGACUUCCGAAUUGAGGUCAUCUAGCACUUGCUAAGAUCAACAAUGCAGUAAUCUCAGAACUUGAAAAAUGGGACGCAGCCUUCCAUACAGUCUAGAAUGGAGCUUCCUCUGAUUAUUGUGUCUUCCAACCGUGCCAGGUACUUGACACCCAUUAUCCUACAUGAUCUUCACAACAGCCUUAAAUGGAAACGAGGGGAUUAAAGGAAUCAGAAGAGUGAUUUGUAAUUGGUCUCUGGACUACACUACUGUUUCCGUUUGUCAAGAGCAAGCUCAUGGAUAAAGCUACGCAGAAGGACUUUAGAGCAGUAGCUUCCCUCCUGCAGUCUGGGAUUAGAGGAAAAUUUAACCUUGACAUAUCCUUUUAUGAUCAUAAUGCCCUUCGCCUAUCAGUCUAUUUUCAC